UCAUGGAAUACCUCAUCGGCAUUCAGGGCCCCGAUUAUGUCCUUGUCGCCUCCGACCGGGUGGCCGCCAGCAACAUUGUCCAGAUGAAGGACGAUCAUGACAAGAUGUUUAAGAUGAGUGAAAAAAAUCUUACUCCUAUGUGUUGGAGAGGCUGGAGACACUGUACAGUUUGCAGAAUAUAUUCAGAAAAAUGUGCAACUUUAUAAGACGCGAAAUGGUUAUGAAUUGUCUCCCACAGCAGCAGCUAACUUCACACGCCGAAACCUGGCUGACUGUCUUCGGAGUCGGACCCCGUAUCACAUUGACCUCCUCCUGGCUGGCUACGACGAGCACGAGGGCCCAGCGCUCUACUACAUGGACUACCUGGCAGCCUUGGCCAAGGCCCCCUUUGCAGCCCACGGCUAUGGUGCCUUCCUGACUCUUAGUAUCCUGGACCGAUACUACACGCCAACUAUCUCACGUGAGGGGGCAGUGGGGCUUCUUAGGAAAUGUCUAGAGGAGAUCCAGAAACGCUUCAUCCUGAAUCUGCCAACCUUCAGUGUUCGAAUCAUUGACAAAAAUGGCAUCCAUGACAUGGCCAACAUUUCCUUCCCUAAACAGGGCUCCUAACAUCAUGCCCUGUGUCUCACGUGCCAGGGAACUUUUUUUGAUGGGCUCCUUUAUUUUUUUCUACUCUUUGGAUCUGUACUCUUGCUAGAUGGUUAAUUGAGAAUAAAGCUAAGUAUGGAUAAAC